GGCCCUGUCUUGUUCUUUUCUAGCAAUCUCGCACUGAGAACUAGAUUGCAAAUUUCCAUGUUCUGAACCUCCUCUUCACUCCAAGCUAAGUGGGUUCAGUGAAUGCUCAAGGCUUGACUGGCAUGAGCUCCUUCAGUGUGAAGAUGGGUGCUUUCUAGAGUUCAUUGGUGGGGACAUCUUACCAGUGAAGAGGAGAUGAGGUAGGACUAUGCAGUGAGCCCAAGGGUGACUGGAAGUCCUGCCAAGGGACCCCAACUUUCCUUGAGCACUCACAGUUCUUUUUCUGCAUUGGGACCAUACACGCUUCAGAAAGAGAAAGUGCCUCUGGAGAGGGGUGGAUUCCGAAAGAAAACAGAGAAAAUGUGGGGCAGAGAGGUACUGAGUAAAGGGAAGGAGAUGGGAGAAAAAGCAGAAGGCAAGACGGGGCCUAACAAAACUCCAAGGGCUCCCCAUUGGAUAACCUGGAGAGGUGAGCAUGUCUGCUACAAGAAAGGGAAAACAGUGGAAAGAACCCAAGAGAAGUGGGAGAUAUGGGGAAAUAAGAGCCAGAAAUGUGUAGGAAAACAGCAGAGACCCUGCUUAGGAUCCAGGCAUGAAGAACACAGCAAGUUAGACCAUUUCCUGUUCCUGACUAUUGGGCUCUCACAGCCUCUUUUCUGAUUCUGAGCAUUGCUCCAGCUAUCAUCCUAUUCCUGCCAUGGAUGGUCCUGGACGAACACCACUUAUUUCAGUGCUAUUUAUCCACAGGGAAGAGCACAGAGUCUCCAAGCUGGAGCACCCUGCAAGGCAGGAAUGUGAUGCUUUCACCACACAUCUGGGAGAUCACAGUAGGCAGGCAAACGACGCUGAGAGCCACAUCCUGCACAAAAAGCAGAAACACAGGAUGUGAAAAGGGGAGCUUACAAACCUCCAAACUGAAACCAAGGUCAAAAGCUCUGCAGGAUCUUCACUAUAGAUGUGACUUCUUCAGAGAACUUCAGCUCCACAGAUGCAGAUGUAGAAAGCUACCUCCCUGAUGAAGCAACUGUGAGCCCCAGGGACCAGGAGACAGAGCAAGAAGACACAGGGCAUACAUCUGAAUUGGGUCAGGAUGAAGUUUCUUUCUUUGUUGUUUGCUUUUAUUUGCUCUGUGGUGCUCAAGAUCAAACCCAGAGCCUUGUGCAGAUAGGGAAGUACUCCAUCACUGAAUUACACCCUCAGACACCAAUGAUGAAGAUUUUACAGAUAGAUCCAAAUAAUAAAAAAUAAG
rnacentral:lncRNA from 1 species